CAGGGGUCACCAACACGGUGCCCACAGUAGCGGUGCACAGGUGCCCCAAGAACCACAUGAUAGCCUUCAGGCCUGUUGUAAAAAUGAAAAUUGAAUAUUGAUGAUAUCUGUUUCUCACCUUGUUAAGUCAUUGUUGAAUAUAAAUUGUGAGAAAUAAUUAACGUGAUCAGUGUCUAUGUUAUCUGU